UCCUCUUGACUCUAGGAGAGGUGGGAGGGGGAGGGAAAGCUUGCUCUGCCUCGGCGCCUGCGCAGUGCGGGUAGACGGUGUCUGGGCUGUCGAAAGAACCGGCCAAGGUUUCGAGCGCGCCUACGCACUGUGUCCUUCGUGAAUGAAUGAAAGGACCCAGGCAUCUAUCAUCGAAAGUCACAAAAAGAGAAACAACAUACUUCCUGCAUCACCUGUGAAUUGUCCCUGUGGAGAAGGAGGAGCAGGAAAUCCUGAAUCUGAUCAAGGCUUUAGGACUAACUGUCAAUUUACAGGCAAUUCAGAGGACAGAGGAACAGGUGAAUCCACACCAGAGGAAUGCAAUCAGCAAACUCCGCAUGGUGGAAAUUACAGGACAAAUGAUCUGUUUCUUCAACAAAUUGCAAGGGGGAAAGAGAUGUGAUGGAGGAGGUAUGCAUAGCUCGAAAGACUUACGGUGCGUAGAACAGCUCUUUGUGUGGACUUUGUUUGAAUCCUGACUAAAAAUAAAAACAAACACAGAAAUUAUUAUUUAUGAGAGUUAGAAAUGUAAACACUAUAUUUAAUCAUGUUGUGAAAUAAUUAUUAAUUAUUUUAGGUGUGAUAA